CACACCUGGCAAUGGAUGUGACCUUCAGCACGGCCCAGGUUUCUUUCACUUGGAGGAGGCAAAGUGGUGAAUGGAAGGAGGCAAUCCUCUGGCAGUGGGAUGCUAGGGAGCGAUAAUAAGGCAAGUUUGCUUGCUUGAAGGCUGCUGGCAUCCAUGGUUGGAAGCUGGCGGACGUCUCAUGAUGGACCUAAGAGUAGCUUCUGGCACAAUGGGGCACCAUGACAGAAGCCAGAGUGCACAGAAAUGCUGUUUACCUUCCUGCCACAGCAGUACCUAUUUAUCUACUUGCACUGGCGUGCUUUCGAACUGCUAGGUUGGCAGGAGCUGGGACAUAGCCACGGGAGCUCACCCCGCCAUGCAGAUUCGAACUGCCAAACUUCUGAUCGGCAAACCCAAGAGGCUCAGUGGUUUAGACCACAGUGCCACCCGCUCUCAGCUGGUUCUGAAUACCAGUUGCUGCAAACCAUAGCAAAGGAAAAAGCUCUUGGAUUCGGGUCCUGCUGGUGUGCUUCCACUAUAACAACAAGAUGGGCUAUUUGAGUGAUCCAGCAGACUCUUCUUACGUUCUCUAGAACCUUUGCACGGGUUUCUGUGGUGAGGUACACAGAGGGCUCUGAGCACUUAGGAAAACCGCCUUAUAACUGGGCAUUAAAGUUUUGGCAGUUUCCCCUCC
rnacentral:lncRNA from 1 species